rnacentral:rRNA from 1 species
AUGGCAAUCGCAUUGGCAGCCUUCCUCCUGAUACCGCUCUUCUCCCUCGGCGCAGUCUUCGUCCUCCGUGCGUGGAGACUCGACAAGAAGGCGCCGGCGCAGCGCACGCCGAGGACGCGGCCGUACCCGCUGCUCGGCCACCUGCCGCAGUUCCUGGCGAACCGGCACCGCGUGCUGGACUGGCUCACCGAGGUGCUCGCUCUCCUGCCAACCUGCACGCUGGUGUUCCGCCGGCCCGGCGGCGUCCGAGGCGUCAUCACCGCGAACCCGACCAACCUGGAGCACAUCAUGCGUGCCAGCUUCGAUAACUACCCCAAGGGCCCGCGCUUCGCGGCGCUGCUCCACGACUUCCUCGGCCGGGGCAUCUUCAACGCCGACGGCGAGGCCUGGCGCGCGCAGCGGAAGGCGGCCAGCUACGAGUUCAACACGCGCUCGUUGCGCCUCUUCGUGGCACGAAGCGUGCACAGCGAGCUCCACGGCAGGUUCCUCCCGCUCCUGCGCCGUGCCGCCGGGUCCGGCAGCCAGCUCAACCUCCAGGACACGCUCGAGCGGUACGCGUUCGAUAAUAUCUGCCGUGUCGCCUUUGACCACGACCCCCGCCAGCUCCCGGACGGAGACGACAGCGCUGGCCCAGAAGUCGAGAGCACCGCGACCGCGAGCAGCAGUUUCGCCGACGCGUUCCGGGACGCGGCCAAUCUCAGCGCUGGCAGGUUCCAGUACGCCGUCCCAGGAUUCUGGAUGAUCAAGAAGGCGCUUAAUCUGGGCUCCGAGCGGCGGCUGCGCGAGUCCAUUGCCAUGGUGCAUGGCUUCGCCGAUCGCAUCAUACGGUCGCGGCGGGAGGAGAUGAGCAUGGGCUGCGAGAAGCACGACCUGCUGUCGAGGUUCAUGGCGAACCAGGGCGAGAGCUACACCGAGACGGCCCUCCGCGACGUAGUGAUCAGCUUCCUCCUCGCGGGGCGGGAAACGACAUCCUCGGCGCUCACCUGGUUCUUCUGGCUGCUGUCCUCGCGCCCGGACGUGGAGCGCCGCAUCCGCGACGAGGUCGCCGCCGUGCGCGCCGCCGAGCGAUCGGCGAUCACGGCAGAGCCGGGUUCGAUCUCGACGAGCUGA